AACGAACGCUGGCGGCAUGCCUAACACAUGCAAGUCGAACGAGACCUUCGGGUCUAGUGGCGCACGGGUGCGUAACGCGUGGGAACCUGCACUUAGGUUCGGAAUAACUCCCCGAAAGGGGUGCUAAUACCGGAUAAUGUCUUAGGACCAAAGAUUUAUCGCCUUUGGAUGGGCCCGCGUUGGAUUAGCUAGUUGGUAGGGUAAAAGCCUACCAAGGCGCCGAUCCAUAGCUGGUCUGUGAGGAUGAUCAGCCACACUGGGACUGAGACGCGGCCCAGACUCCUACGGGAGGCAGCAGUGGGGAAUAUUGGACAAUGGGCUAAAGCCUGAUCCAGCAAUGCCGCGUGAGUGAUGAAGGCCUGAGGGUUGUAAAGCUCUUUUACCCGGGAUGAUAAUGACAGUACCGGGAGAAUAAGCUCCGGCUAACUCCGUG
rnacentral:rRNA from 1 species